GCGUCAUGGUCGAAAACCCACCCCUUCCUUUCGUUGCGAUGGACCACAGAGUUAUGGUGUGACGUUGGGCUACCAAGACUGUGUGAAGGUGUGAUGCGCUGCUCACUCUCAGUGCGGUGUGCUGUCAAGGCUCCCAUCUGUGUAACAUGGUAGUGUAACGUAGCUCUGGUCGGAGCGCCAGCUGUUGCCGUCACAACUAUUAAAGACGCUAUCAUGACUUUCGUAUGUGCCAUCGUGAGUAUCAUGUCAUCGGAUCAGGGAGCUGAGUGCUUCCUGAGGCUGGGGGGAGUUCUUUUGCUGCACCUUAGGCUUUAUUAAAUUAAGGGUCGUUAAUAUUGCUGUGUUUAUUUGCAGUGAAUUUUGUGGGUAUGAUUCUGAUUAUUGUUUUUUUUUUCCCUUUUGUAUAGCUGGUGCUGUUGUACUAGCCUGCCCUUCAUACAAGAAGCCUCAGUCCUCCUAUGAUUAUUGUUAAUUUCCUUUUGUGGCUGUUUUAUUUGACCAAUGCCUGACUGCGUUGGGUGCUUUUUUAAAAAUAAUUCUUGGCCAGUCUUUUUAAUUCCAAAAAUAAAAUGUAUUUUUGUAUGGAAACCCAUGCCUCUUGCCUGUUCUAAGUGGAAUGUAUUUGUGUGUCUUUAUUUGGGUUAUUUUUCCCCGUUUUCUCGGGGUGGCAUAGCUGGUGCAAAGAAAAAAACGAACCACUUGCUACACGUGGCAUAGUUGUUACUCGCUGAGCCACAUUGCUACACGUGACGUAGUUGGCAGGAUUUCCACAGAAUAUUUGGCAGAGGCAGGGGACCACAUUUUUUUUGGUUCUUUAUGUGUUGUGGUCUGUCUUUUCUUUCCUUUUUUCUUUUUGUAGGAACCAAGCAGCAGCGUGUGCUCUGGAGACUGCAGUUGCUGGUCUGACUCCCUUGCGUGUCGUGGGUAGGUGUAUUCCAUCAUAAAUGGAGGGAGAAUUACAGGAACUUAAAGAGCUGGUGGCUCAACUUAGGGCUGACAGUGAGAGAUUCAGGGCAUCUGAAUCAUCAGGGGCUAGUGUUGCUGAACCUAGUGCCUCUGUUACAGUCGACGCCCCCAUAUUGCCACCAGUGACUGGCACUGCUACUCCAGUAACUGAUAGGUUGGUGUUCGUGCCUAGAGAUAGGAGGUGCCCAAAAUUUUGUGGUUGGUCAGUGGUGAGUUUUAAUGAAUGGGUUGAGGAAGCUACAGCAUGUAUGAGAACCUGUUAUUUAUCCCCUGCAGACCAGACCUUCUUUCUUUUUGAUCACUCUGAGGGAGAGGUGCAAGAUGAGAUGAUAUCGUUCAGCUGAGGAGUGUGGGGAACCUGAGAAAAUCAGUGGGGCACUGCGUGAGUUGUAUGGGUGCACAUUGUCAUAUGUGGCCUUACAGGAAGCUUUCUUCUCCCAGAAGCAGCAAGAGGGGGAAACGCUCUUGGAGUAUUCCCCCACCUUGAUGAGCCUCCUGGAGAAGGUUAAGCAACAGUCGCCAAAUGUUAUUGUGAAUGCUGAAACUGUGCUUCAUGAUCAAUUUAUUGAAUACUUGAAUGAUAGUACUUUGAGACGAGAGCUUAAACAGCUGGUGCGCCGACAGCCUAAUUCCCCUUUACUGGAGGUAUGGGGUGAAGCCCUUCGAUGGGAGUUGGAAGGCAGGACAGGGUGUGACGCUGGGCUACCGAGACUGUGUGCAUGGGUGGUGUGCUGCUCAUUCUCAGUGUGGUGUGCCGUCAAGGCUCCCAUCUGUCUAGCAUGGCAGUUUAACAUAGCCCCGGGCCGGCCUAGAGAUGGUGAUGGAGCUGUGCGAAAAAUGAGACGAGCCACAGCAGGACAACAUUCUAAUGUCCACCAUCUUCUACGAGCAGUGGAGAAUGUAAGGGACUAAUGCCAGUGCUUUGUAAUCCAUCGUCGGGGCGACGAAACAAAAGUAGGGGGUAGAAUGAAGUGGGGUGUGUGUCGUGGUUAAAACGUCACCCUAAUUAACUACGUGGCCAAUGAGCUAUCUUUCUACCACAGUAUAUAAGUAUUUGUUUAGGCCUCCCAGAAUGCGUCAUGGUCGAAAACCCACCCCUUCCCUUUGUUGCUAUGGACUACAGAGUUAUGUGUAUUUAGCUUUGUCGCUUAGCUGUUUGAUGCUAGUGUUGUCCAUUUACCAUGCGAUUUAAUUGUUUAGUGUGACGUUGGGCUACCAAGACUGUGUGAAGGUAUGAUGCACUGCUCACUCUCAGUGCGGUGUGCCGUCAAGGCUCCCAUCUGUGUAGCAUGGUAGUGUAACGCAGCUCUGGUCGGAGCGCCAGCUGUUUCCGUCACAACUAUUAAAGAAGCUAUCAUUUUUUUCGUAUGUGUCAUCGUGAGUAUCAUGUCAUCGGAUCAGGGUAGGUAAAUCGUUUAGUUUUAUUACUCGAGCUAAACUAUCUUGCAUGCUUUCCAAAUUGAGGUUGUAACACCUGUUUGUACUUGGGGUCCUCUAUUUUUCAUGUGUUAAGGCAGGCUGAGUGAGAUGUGGUAGUUUAGGUAUAGCUCCUCCCCCUCACUCGUGGAGCCACGUUGCUGUUUGGUGCUGCUUGAUUCGGUUUGGGUUUACUGCUUUGGGCUGUUUUAUUUUGUUAUUUUGUUUUUAUUUGUUUGUCACUAACAUCAGUUUUAUUGAAUUCAACUGUUGUAACAGUCUUUAUCAAUUAUGCUGAUACUGCUAUGUGGUAGUAGUGGUUUUAGUCAGUCUUGGUAAACUUGCUACUUGUAAUCAGUUUGAGCUUGGGGUUAUCUCUGUGUUUUUGUGACAGUAAGUUUGUCUUUGUUUUGUUUUAUUCUUUUGUGUGCCUGCUUUGAGCAUAUUGUAAUUUUUCUUGUGUUUUUGUUUUCUCCUUGUAGGAGCUGAGUGCUUCCUGAGGCUGGGGGGAGUUCUUUUGCUGCACCUUAGGCUUUACUUAAUUAAGGGUCAUUAUUAUUGCUGUGUUUAUUUGCAGUGAAUUUUGUGGGUAUGAUUCUGAUUAGUGGGAUGUUUUUCCCUUUUGUAUAGCUGGUACUGUCGUACUAGCCUGCCCUUCAUACAGGAAGCCUCAGUCCUCCUAUGAUUAUUGUUAAUUUCCUUUUGUGGCUGUUUUAUUUGACCAAUGCCUGACUGCAUUGGGUGCUUUUUUUAAAAAAAAUAAUUCUUGGCCAGUCUUUUUGACUCCAAAAAUAAAAUGUAUUUUUGUA